rnacentral:rRNA from 1 species
AACGCGAAGAACCUUACCUGGGCUCGAACGGCUUCGGACAAACUGUGGAAACACGGUCUUCCCGCAAGGGACUGGAGUCGAGGUGCUGCAUGGCUGUCGUCAGCUCGUGUCGUGAGAUGUUGGGUUAAGUCCCGCAACGAGCGCAACCCUUGUCCUGUGUUGCCACUCCCCUUAAAAGGAAGCACUCGCAGGAGACCGCCAGCGAUAAGCUGGAGGAAGGUGGGGAUGAUGUCAAGUCAUCAUGGCCUUUAUGUCCAGGGCUACACACGUGCUACAAUGGACGGUACAAAGCGCUGCGAACCCGCGAGGGGAAGCUAAUCGCAAAAAACCGUUCUCAGUUCGGAUCGCAGGCUGCAACUCGCCUGCGUGAAGCUGGAAUCGCUAGUAAUGGUGUAUCAGAACGAUACCGUGAAUACGUUCCCGGGCCUUUACACACCGCUCGCAA